rnacentral:rRNA from 1 species
CGGCGGCCAUGGCCCAGGUGAGACGCCCGGUCCCAUUCCGAACCCGGAAGCUAAGGCCUGGCACGGCGAUGGUACUGCACCCGACAGGGUGUGGGAGAGUAGCACGCCGCCGCAUU